AAAGAUGCCCGAUCGGAAGUCAUACUUUGCCAUCAGAUCCACAUGAGGUACCACCGAUGGUGAUAAACAUGUUAACUCCGCUUUUUAGCUAAAUUUCUACCCUAGGUUCCACUUUGGCAUCAAUUUGUUACCCUGGAUUUCAUUUUAGACAAUUUGAUACCCUAGAUUUUCGUAAUUAGCCAAUUCGCUAUUUGAAGUAUUAUGUCUGCCAACUACCCUAUGUAUUCAAAACUAAGGUGAAAAUCCAAUUUGCUACCCUAAAUAUAUAUGUUUCAAAUUGUUCAUUUCUUCAUCCAAACAUUAAUAAUUUUGAAAAUCUAAGGUGAACUAUGGUCAAUCUUGAAAUUUUGAUAAGUAAAUUGUCAAAAUUGAUUCAUCUUGAAAGUGUAAAUUAAGUAUAUCAAAUUUGAUGGAGGGAUAGCAAACUCGCUAAAAUAUAAUCUUAGGUAGCAAAUUGGCUAAUUUAGAAAACCUAUGGUAACAAAUUGGCAGUAAUAAUACUUAGGGUAGCGAAUUGGCUAAUUUAGAAAACCUACGGUAACAAAUUGGCUGAAAUAAAACCUACGGUAGCAAAUUGACAUCAAGAUGAAACCUAGCUAGGGUUGUAAUUUGGAAAUUAUGCCUAAUUUAUAUGUCAAAGCCAAAAAUAUGUCAUUCAUAAAAGAGGUAAUUCUGGGAGGUCGUUCAUUCUAGGAGUGACUUCCAAACAUAUAUAGUUCUGUUUUGUUCAAUAUAUGUGUCACUCAUAUGCUAAAUAGCUUAACACUUCCGAAAACUGUCCAAACUAACAACAAUCAAAUUUGAACUUUACCCAAAGCAUUGGUGAAGCAGAGCGGAUUCAGUGCACCAUGGUGUUUUGAACCACUCAUGUGGGUCCUAUAUGUUCUAGCAUAUAUUCUCAAAAUAUAUAUUAGAUACAAAAAAGAUAUUCGAUUGGAAGUCAUACUUUGCCAUCAGCUCCACAUGAGGUACCACCGAUGACGAUAAACAUGUUAACUCCGCUUUUUAGCCAAAUUGCGACUAUAGGUUACACCUUGGUAUCAAUUUACUACCCUAGGUUUCAUUUCAGCCAAUUUGCUACCAUAGGUUUUCGUAAUUAUCCAAUUCGCUACCUUAAGUAUUUUUUGUGCCAAUUUGUUACCUACGUAUUCAAAAGUAGCCAAUUUGCUACCUCUUUGUCAUUUCAAAUUGUCCAUUUCUUCAUCCAAACAUUAAUAAUUUUGAAAAUCUAAAUGAUCAAUCUUGAAAUUUUGAUAAGUAAAUUGCCCAAAUCGGUUUAUCUUGAAAGUGUAAAGUAUAGCAAAUUUGAUGGAAGGAUAGUAAACUGGCUAAAAUAAAACCUUAGGUGGCAAUUGGCUAAUUUAGAAAACCUAUGGUAACAAAUUGGCUUAAAUAAAACCUACAGUAGCAAACUGACACCAAGAUGAAACCUAGGGUAGUAAUUUAGCAAUUAUGCCUAAUUUAUAUGUCAAAGCCAAAAAUAUGUCAAUCGUAAAAAAGAGAAUUUUGGGACGUCGUUCAUUUUGGGAGUGACUUCCAAACUUAUAUAGUUAUGUUUUUUUCAAUAUUUGUGUCACUCCUAUGCUAAACAGCUUAGCACUUCCGAAAAUUGUCCAAAUUAACAACAAUCAAAAUUGAACUUUGCCCAAGCAUUGGUGAAGCGGAGCGAAUUCAGUGCACCAUAGUGUUUUGAACCACUCAUGUGGGUCCCAUAUGUACUAACAUAUACUCUCAAAAUAUAUAUUAGAUAAGAAAAAGAUGCCCGAUUGGAAGUCAUACUUAGCCAUCAAAUCCACACGAGGUACCACCGAUGGCGAUAAACAUGUUAACUCCGCUUUUUAGCCAAAUUGCGACCCCAAGUUACACCUUGAUAUCAAUUUGAUACCCUAGGUUUUCGUAAUUAGCUGCUUCGCUACCCUAAUUAUUAUUUCUGCUAAUUUGCUAUAUAUGUAUUCAAAACUAGCCAAUUUGCUACCUUUUUGUGAUUUCAAAUUGUCCAUUUCUUCAUGCAAACAUUAAUAGUUUUGAAAAUCUAAGGUGAACUAUGGUCAGUCUUGAAAUUUUGAUAAGUAAAUUACCAAAAUUGGUUCAUCUUGAAAGUGCAAAAUUGGUUCAUUUUGGUUGUUGCAAGUGCCUCUUGAUGCACUGAAUACUCACAAAAUACAUAUUCGAUACGAAAAAGAUGCCCGAUCGGAAGUCGUACUUUGCCAUCAGAUCCACAUGAGGUACCACUGAUGGCGAUAAACAUGUUAACUCCGCUUUUUAGCUAAACUAGGUCCUUUUGUUUGCCUUCCAAAGUUUGUGCCUCUGGCAGUCGAGGCUUUGCCGUGGUUUUGGUACUUACCGGCAUUACCAAACUUGAGAGGGACAACCUGCUUGAUAUAUGUCAUUCCAGGGAAGUGCCUAUUCUCUUUUGUAAGUGAUUUUAGCUGUGGGAACCAGUACGCCACAUACUCGCCUUCA
rnacentral:lncRNA from 1 species